UGGGUGCUCUGUUUCACGGAGUUAAACGGGAAGUUGGUGAAAGUCCGACACUGCCCCCGCAACGGUGAACGUUGAAAACAAGUCCAUAUGCCACUGCGAAAGUUCGUGGGAAGGCGAUUUGUAUGGCUAAUGCCACAACGUGAGUCCGGAUACCGGCCUGAGGUUC
rnacentral:ncRNA from 1 species